rnacentral:sRNA from 1 species
UGUAAACGUUUUACAAUAAUAAUGUUCUUAAAUUUCUUUAAUUAAAGAGAAUAACAUUAUUCUUUUUAUCUGAGAAAAAAUAUUUAAAAGGAGGAAGAACAAGA